rnacentral:tRNA from 1 species
GCCUGAGUGGCUCAGCUGGUUAAGCAUCUGACUUCAACUCAGGUCAUGAUCUCAUGGUUUGUGGGUUCGAGGCCCCCAUCAGGUU